rnacentral:ncRNA from 1 species
AAAAAAAACCCCCACAUCAUGUGGGGGGAAGACAGGGAUGGUGUCUAUGGCAAGGAAAACAGGGUUUGUUA